UCGAGGAUCUUCGGCAAUGGGCGCAAGCCUGACCGAGCGACGCCGCGUGUGCGAUGAAGGCCUUCGGGUUGUAAAGCACUGUCGGGGGGGAGGAAGCCGCAAGGUUGACCUAUCCCCGGAGGAAGCACGGGCUAAGUUCGUGCCAGCAGCCGCGGUAAGACGAACCGUGCGAACGUUGUUCGGAAUCACUGGGCUUAAAGGGCGCGUAGGCGGGCAAUCAAGUCCGGGGUGAAAUCUUUCGGCUUAACCGGAAAAGUGCCUUGGAUACUGAUUGUCUAGAGGGAGAUAGGGGUAUGUGGAACUUCCGGUGGAGCGGUGAAAUGCGUUGAUAUCGGAAGGAACGCCGGUGGCGAAAGCGACGUACUGGAUCUCUUCUGACGCUGAGGCGCGAAAGCCAGGGGAGCGAACGGGAUUAGAUACCCCCGUAGUCC
rnacentral:rRNA from 1 species